GAGUACACCAUCAAGAGUAAUUCUAAAAGAGCAGAUACAUUCCACUGGUUUCCAUGACGAUUGCUCAAGUUGUAGCACUUUGCCUAAGAACCGCUGUUUAUAAAUAUAACCCACAAAUUUCACUGAGGAGAUUUCCAGCGAUGUAGAUGGUAGAAGUUGAUUUUGGACCAAUUUCUGAAUUUGACAUAAAAACCAAUUAAAUGUUGCAGUUGAUUGUUCCAGGUUUACAAUUUUCAUGGAAAACUGGUCUGUAUUCAUGAAACGUGCUGUGUUAUUUUAUGAAUUUGUGUGGACACUUCUGUAUAUUAUCUAAACUGUUGUUUCAUGGGAGAAAUCAGAUUAUUUUUAUUU